rnacentral:rRNA from 1 species
UACGAAGGGGGCUAGCGUUGUUCGGAAUUACUGGGCGUAAAGGGCUCGUAGGCGGCCAACUAAGUCAGACGUGAAAUCCCUCAGCUUAACUGGGGAACUGCGUCUGAUACUGGAUGGCUUGGAUUCGGGAGAGGAAUGCGGAAUUCCAGGUGUAGCGGUGAAAUGCGUAGAUAUCUGGAGGAACACCGGUGGCGAAGGCGGCAUCCUGGACCAACACUGACACUGAGGAGCGAAAGCCAGGGGAGCAAACGGG